GUUGCUUGUCCAGUAUUCUAUCAACUAAACAUAGAAAAAAAGAGGAAAAGAGGAGAGUAGGUGAGAAGCAAGAUGAAGAGUGUGGUGGCACCAACGGCAUGGUCAAUUUCCCUGAUACCCCGCGUAAAUGCCCGCAAAAUCCCCAAUUCAUCGCCUCCCUUUCCAAAAUUCUUUAGUCCCAAACCCUACUCUUUCUUCUCUUCUCCUCCUGUUCGUCCUCUUUCCAUGGCGGCCUCCGCUGCUCAGACUGCGUCACCCGGGGAUGUCACCACUGAUGCCCAAGUCUUUCAACUGAUCAAAGAUCAUCAGGAAAAGGCUGCUCGGCUUCCUCCGCUUGAGGAAAUUAGAACUGUUAUUAAUCAGAGUGUGCGAGGCAUGCUUUCGACUAUUUCUCAGAAGUAUGAGGGUUAUCCAUCAGGAUCGAUGGUCGACUUUGCAUGCGAUCAGGAUGGGUAUCCAAUAUUAGCAGUCAGUAGCCUGGCAAAUCAUACAAAGGACCUGUUAGCUAAUACCAAAUGCUCAUUGCUUGUAGCAAAGGAUCCUGAGGAUAAGACUGACCUUUUAAUUACUGUGCAUGGAGAUGCUGUUCCUGUCUCUGAAGAGGAUAAAGGGGAUAUUCGUACAGCAUACUUGACAAGGCAUCCCAAUGCAUUCUGGGUUGACUUUGGUGACUUCCAAUUUAUGCGUAUUGAACCAAAAGUAGUGCGUUAUGUGUCUGGGAUUGCAACAGCUCUCUUGGGAACAGAAGAGUUUACUAAAGAGGCCUAUACAGCUGCAAAAGUUGAUCCAAUAGCUCAGUUUUCUAAGCCUGUGGCGUCUCACAUGAACAGAGAUCAUGCAGAAGAUACAAAGCUGAUUGUGCAACACGUGACAUCUAUUCUGGUGGACUCUGCUUAUAUGCUGGAUUUGGAUAGUCUUGGUUUCUAUGUUAAGGCUACUUACCGAGGGAAUACUUUCAAGCUCCGAAUUCCUUUCCCUAGACGUGCUGAGGAUAGAAAGGAUGUAAAGACUCUUGUGGUGGAAAUGCUUCAAGCUGCUAACUCUCAAUCUAAUUAAUGCUCUAUUAAAAUUGAGUAAAAAGAUAUUUUCCAUAUUACUCCCAAAACUAGGCCAACUUUUGUUGUUAUGGUACCCUCCAAGCAGUGUAGUCCUCCAAUAGUUGAACCAUAUACUCCUUGUAUCCUGUGGGAUUAGACAUGGUAUAGGAUCCUGCAUCGAACCAUAGAUCAUCUUUCUGGGAACAAAUGGAAACAAGUGAAAUCAGUGGCAAUUCUUUGGCUUUCUUUUCUUGUUUGCUCUUGCUUUGUCUCUAUCUAUUGUAAUUAAGGUCAGAAUGAAUAACCAUGUUAUGUCAGACUGUUCAAUGUAAAAAGGGUGCAUAAACAGUUUCUAGAACACAAAGUCAGUAGUGCAAAAAUUUUUAUUUUUGGUGGGAUACUGUACAAACUUUGCUAUGGAGAAGCUCAUUCGAAAUUGAAAUACACAGAUGAUGAUUAGAACUAGCCA